GACGAACGCUGGCGGCAGGCUUAACACAUGCAAGUCGAACGAACGUAGCAAUACGUUAGUGGCGCACGGGUGAGUAACGCGUGGAUAUCUGCCUUUUGGUUCGGAAUAACCUUGGGAAACUAGGGCUAAUACCGAAUGGUUCCUACGGGAUAAAGAUUUAUCGCCAAAAGAUGAGUCCGCGUCCGAUUAGCUAGUUGGUGAGGUAAUGGCUCACCAAGGCGACGAUCGGUAGCUGGUCUGAGAGGAUGAUCAGCCACACUGGAACUGAGACACGGUCCAGACUCCUACGGGAGGCAGCAGUAGGGAAUAUUGGACAAUGGGGGCAACCCUGAUCCAGCCAUGCCGCGUGAGUGAAGAAGGCCCUCGGGUUGUAAAGCUCUUUUGUCCGGAAAGAAAAGCAAUCGGUUAAUACCCGGUUGUUCUGACGGUACCGGAAGAAUAAGCACCGGCUAACUUCGUG
rnacentral:rRNA from 1 species